rnacentral:lncRNA from 1 species
UGGUACGAGAGGAGCAAAACAUGCCGUCUCCGUUUGACCGCUCUCUUCAUCCGACUCAAAGGUUUUUUUUGUUUUGUUUUUUUCUUCUCCUUUUUAUUUAAUUCAUGUGAGGUUUGUCUGCUCACAUCUGUACAGCGGCGAGUAGAGGACAUCACAGAGACGCGGAUGCCAUCACUUGACUCACCAGAGCGUUUCCCUAAAAACAUGAAGUCUGAGUUGGAGAUAUCCCUAGAUAAUGAAGUGUUGGAUUCGCUCAGCAUGGAAACUCCCCAAACUCCCGCAGCCUGCCAAGGAGAAACUGAAGUGUCUUUAAGUAAUCUGGACAAGGCUGUGCUGAAUAUUUGCUGCGAGGGCUGGCAUCAGCAGCAGGAGUCCCCAGCGACCGGUGAUAGGAUAGCCAAGAGACUGACCCGAGAGACUGACCCGAGAGGACCCAAGAGACUCUAGGUGAGAGACUGAGCGUGUAGCAUCUAGCACUGUUAUUAGUAUGGGGGGGCGCUCAUGUUAAAUAAUAAA